GAUGCAGNGUAAAACUCUAAAAGCGGUCUCAGUUCGGAUUGAAGGCUGAAAUUCGCCUUCAUGAAGCUGGAAUUGCUAGUAAUGGCAGGUCAGCAUACUGCCGUGAAUACGUUCCCGGGCCUUGUACACACCGCCCGUCAAACCAUGAGAGUUGGCAACACCCGAAGUCGGUAGUCUAACCGCAAGGAGGACGCCGCCGAAGGUGGGGUCGAUGAUUAGGGUUAAGUCGUAACAAGGUACC
rnacentral:rRNA from 1 species